GGGAACUAAUAGAGACUUUGAUUGAAAACCUGCUAUGACUUUGCAAGAGUGUCUGUACCUGAAGGUUUUAAAACUAAUUUCAUCUAUACAAAAGCUGCCUUCACAGCAGGACUCAAAUGUCUCUAAAUGAAGAUGAAAGCACAGCUCUAUUGAUUUUGUCUUUAGGUUUGAUGCCCACUUUGGGAAAGCAGUCCUGCAAGCAUUGCUUAGGAGGGGAUAAAGUUACUGUUUGAUACUUCCCACUUGAGUUCUCUGUUUAUUUGGAGUCUUACAAUGGAACUUAGAGUUAGUGGAGACAAGGAAUGAGUGGUGCUCGGGAUGUCGGCUCCCUAUAUGCCAUUAUGUAUGAACACGUAGAUCCUUUAUGAAGCAUGUGUGAGGUCGCAAUGGACACUAUUUUCUAGAUGGCUCUGUAACAAGGACGAAUAUGCAUCCAACAGAUGUAACUCAAUAUAGACCAUCACCUCCAAGAACAAGAUACUAGCCACAUACCUUGCAUCUGCAUUGCACCGCGGUGCGCUCCCAGCCAAGGUCUGAGGCAUCUGAUAUCAGCGAUACCGAAGGAUGCGGGCUGUCAAACAGGACUCCAUCGAGGACUGUUCCAGGCAGGCCCAGUCUCCUGCACGUGGUCAGCAACAUCGUGAGAGCAUCCUGGACCUGGGACCUGGAGUGACCUUGACCAGCCAGUCGUUGAUCAGGAUACCUCAAUGCCAGAGCUUGGCCAUCAAAGGGGAAGUCCUGGAUGGACUGCUGGACCUUCACCGACAAGCCCGAGGACUGUAGCCACGCCGCCAUCCUCAUAGUUAUGGCUGAAGCCAUGGUCUGUGCUGCAGAAUCAGCCGCGUCUGAGGCCGCCUGCAGUGCUGCCCUCGCCAUUCCUUUCCACUCUUCCAGGAUGGCCUGGAACUCUUUUCUGAGGUC